rnacentral:rRNA from 2 species
ACGGGUGAGUAACGCGUGGGAAUCUACCCAUCUCUACGGAACAACUCCGGGAAACUGGAGCUAAUACCGUAUACGUCCUUCGGGAGAAAGAUUUAUCGGAGAUGGAUGAGCCCGCGUUGGAUUAGCUAGUUGGUGGGGUAAUGGCCUACCAAGGCGACGAUCCAUAGCUGGUCUGAGAGGAUGAUCAGCCACAUUGGGACUGAGACACGGCCCAAACUCCUACGGGAGGCAGCAGUGGGGAAUAUUGGACAAUGGGCGAAAGCCUGAUCCAGCCAUGCCGCGUGAGUGAUGAAGGCCCUAGGGUUGUAAAGCUCUUUCAACGGUGAAGAUAAUGACGGUAACCGUAGAAGAAGCCCCGGCUAACUUCGUGCCAGCAGCCGCGGUAAUACGAAGGGGGCUAGCGUUGUUCGGAAUUACUGGGCGUAAAGCGCACGUAGGCGGAUUGUUAAGUUAGGGGUGAAAUCCCGGGGCUCAACCCCGGAACUGCCUUUAAUACUGGCAAUCUCGAGUCCGAGAGAGGUGAGUGGAAUUCCGAGUGUAGAGGUGAAAUUCGUAGA